rnacentral:rRNA from 1 species
AUGAUAAGAACCUUCCAGAAACUUCUGCAACCAACCCGCGGACCCCACUGGGCUUCUACUCCCCUCCGCCGCUUCUGCGGCCGCGCCCCGGCCCCGCCUGCGCCCGCCGGCGGCGACAUCUUCCAAUGGAACUCCGCCAUCACCUCCCACCUCCGCGGCGGCAGGGUGGCCGCCGCGCGCCGACUGUUCGACGAAAUGCCUGAGCGGAACGUGUUCACGUGGAACUGCAUGAUCUCGGGCUUCGUCCAGAACCGGAUGCUCGCGGACGCCCGCAGGGCGUUUGACGCGAUGCCCGCGAGGAACUCCGUCUCAUGGGCGGCGCUCCUGACCGGCUACGCGCGGAGCGGGAGGGUCGUCGAGGCCAGGGAGCUCUUCGACCGGAUGCCGGACCGGAACGUGGUCUCCUGGAACGCGAUGAUGUCGGGCUACAUGCGCAACGGGAUGGUCGAGCAGGCGCGCGAGCUGUUCGACGCGAUGCCGUCGAGGAACGACGUCUCGUGGCUGACCAUGAUCUCCGGUUACAUCAGGAGGCGGUGUGUCCAUGAGGCGAGGGAGCUCUUUGACCGCGCGCCUUCCCCGUCGACGUCUGUCUGCAACGCGUUGCUGUCGGGUUACGUCGCGCUUGGUUGCUUGAAGGACGCCGAGGAGCUGUUUGUCCGGAUGCAGAGACGGAACCCUGUCUCGUGGAAUGUUAUGAUCACAGGCUACGCGCGGGCUGGGAGGAUGCAGGUUGCGCAGAGCCUGUUUGAUGAGAUGCCCCAGAAGGACACGAUAUCUCGGACAGCCAUUAUGCGUGGGUACUUGCAGAAUGGAGACGUUGAUGCUUCGUGGAAGGUGUUCGAGGAAAUGCCUGAUCGGGAUGCUAUUGCUUGGAACACAAUGAUCGGUGGUUUCGUGCAGAGCGAGAGGGUGGAUGAUGCGUUGAGAUUGUUUGCUGAGAUGCCAAAUAGGGAUCUCGUAUCUUGGAACACGAUCUUGCAAGGCUAUGUUCAACAAGGGGACAUGGCUAGUGCAAAUACCUGGUUUAGAAGAAUGCCAGAGAAAGAUGAGACCUCGUGGAACACAUUGAUCUCUGGGUACAAAGAUGAAGGAGCACUAGCUUUGCUGUCAGAAAUGACCAGAGGAGGACUCAGGCCAAACCAAGCCACUUUGAGCGUUGUUAUUUCUAUCUGCGCCUCUCUUGUUGCGCUCGGAUGUGGAAAAAUGGUGCAUCUCUGUGCAGUCAAAACUGGCUUUGAGCGUGAUGCUUUGGUAAUGAGCUCAUUGAUAUCUAUGUACUCAAAGUGUGGGCUAAUCGCUGAAGCCUCACAAGUUUUCGAAUUGAUGUUGCAGCGAGAUACAGUGACAUGGAAUGCCAUGAUUGCGACAUAUGCUUAUCAUGGUAUGGCUGCUGAAGCUCUGAAACUCUUUCACAAGAUGACUGAAGAUGGGUUUCGUCCAGACCAUGCAACCUUUCUUAGUGUAUUGUCUUCUUGUGCACACAAAGGCUAUUUAUAUGAAGGUUGUCGUUAUUUUAGAAGCAUGCAAGAAGAUUGGAACUUGAUUCCUAGGUCUGAUCACUAUUCCUGUAUGGUUGAUCUCCUAGGAAGAUCUGGUUUUGUACACCAAGCUUAUGCAUUCACAAGAAAAAUCCCAUCUGACCUUCAAGUAAAUGCAUGGGAGACACUGUUUAGCGCAUGUAAUGCUCACGGAGAUGUUCAGCUUGGAGAAGUCAUUGCAAAGAAUGUCCUUCAGGCGCAACCUUCUGAUGGAGGAAUGUAUACACUCUUGGCAAACUUAUAUGCUGCCAAAGAGAUGUGGAGCAGUGCUGCCAAUGUUAGAGGAUUCAUGAAAGAGCAGGGCUUAAAGAAGGAGACAGGGUGUAGUUGGGUUGAGCUGAAGGGGGAGGUUGUUUCCUUCUCAUCAAAUGACAAUACACAUCCCCUAAUUGAUCAGAUAUGCCAGGAGGUUGAUAACCUUUCUGUCAUGAUAGAAGGGGCGAUGUGAUAAGGUUAUGAAAAAUGGAACUCUAGCAGUCUGUGAGAUCAGUUGACGGCACUGUUGGCUCCAGAGUCCAAAAUUUGGGAAAACACAGUCUUUUUUUGUCAGGGGCCGGGGGUACGCCCAAAUGAGUUCUUGAAAGGAUAGGAUAGUGAUGUGUUGGAGCCUGUUCAAUUCUUUAGCGAUGACCCCUUCCAAGAUCGUAAUCAAGAAGUUAAAAACAAGACAGUGAGGUACUGGAGCCAUCAACUCUGCAUUAGUGGUAUUCCUUUAAAUUUCAUUCAGACAUUCAUUUCUCAGCAAAGAGUCAGAGUUUCUCAGCAAGACUACAUUGGCCCACUAUAUCAAUAUUUUAGGAUAAACCAGAUAAGAAAAGUCUGCAUUGUCUUAUCAGCCAAUAGCAGCAUAUGCAUACAACUAGAUGUCGCUGUCAUGACAGGCAAGAUAUUUUUCCCAUCACAGCAAUUGGAGACCACACAGUAAUGCCUUGCCAAACAGACUGGUACUUCGAUAGCAAUUUCCCUCCACUACCACACACUGGUACUCUCUCCCUCUCCCCCUACCCCUCUCGCCCUCCGUCUGAACCACCCACCCCCAGGCUUCAAUGGCCAUGGCAACCAAUUAUUCAAUCUCCAACGCACCAUUUACCUUUAAACCAUCUGCCCCGCAUAAACAAGUUCCAAAUUGGAGAUUUCCUACAAUUAGCAGUGGUGAUGGUGGUGGGAGCAUUUUCACUAUAUCAAGGAGGAAUUUAAGAACUUGGUUCCAUGUCUGCGCUGUCACUGGGGACCAGAGCACCCGUGACGUCUUCAGUGCAAAUUUCCCAAGCGAUUACACAGAACUCAUAGUGCAGUGAUUUCAGGCUAAAGAAGCUACAGAAUCAGCUUUUAAGGAUGGAAAACAGCUAUUGGAAAUAGAGUUUCCUACAGCAGGACUACAAUCUGUACCAGGUGAUGGCGAAGGUGGAAUCGAGAUGACAGGAAGCAUGCUUCUCAUUAGAGAAUUUUGCGAUCGCUUCGUACCUGCAGAGAAAGUUACCAGGACCAGAAUUUUCUUCCCUGAGGCAAAAGAGGUUACUUUUGCGAGACAGUCAGCUUUUGAAGGGUGUUCAUUGAAAUUGGAUUACCUAACAAAACCAUCCUUAUUCGAAGAUUUUGGUUUUACAACGAAGGUCAAAAUGGCAGACCGUGUGCGGCCUGAAGACGAGAUAUUCCUUGUGGCUUAUCCCUAUUUCAAUGUCAAUGAAAUGCUUGUAGUGGAAGAGCUUUACAAGGAAGCAGUUCUUAAUACAGAACGGAAAAUGAUUAUCUUCAAUGGAGAACUAGAUCGGAUAAGAAGUGGAUAUUACCCGCCCUUUUUCUAUCCAAAGCUGGGUGAACUUUCCAAGACCUUUCUUCCGAAACUGGAGACCGUAUACUAUAUUCACAAUUUUAAAGGGUCCAAAGGGGGAGUACUUUUCAGGUGUUACCCUGGCCCUUGGAAGGUGCUGAGAAAAGUAGGUGGCAGCUUUGUCUGUUUGCAUGAACAAGAGGAGAUGCCGUCACUGAAAGAAGUGGCCCUCGACAUACUUCCUUCUGCCUAGAAAGUUCCUAGAGUUACCUCAGAGGAAAGGGAAAAUAGAUAUCCUAAAGAAAAUGGGGGAAAAUGAAGCUUUCAGUAAUCAUCCGAGGGAAGCAAAAGUCUGCAAGAGUUCUUUCCCAAAUGUAUAUGCUCUAGAGAUUCAUCAUGGUCUUGUUGUGGAGGACAUAAAAUUUAGGUAGAUAGGGAAUAGUGGAUUGGGGAACGCAUGUAUCUCCAGUAGGCGCAACACUCAUGCCAGGUCAGCUUGUCCUAUCUUGGAAUACUAUGGUGGACCAGAUGAAUGGCCUGACGCACCUGUGGGGAAUUGGAAAAAAAGAACUCAUCAAUUAUAGAUUUUUUUCCUGGGGCU